rnacentral:rRNA from 1 species
CGGACGGGUGAGUAAUGUCUGGGAAACUGCCUGAUGGAGGGGGAUAACUACUGGAAACGGUAGCUAAUACCGCAUAACGUCGCAAGACCAAAGAGGGGGACCUUCGGGCCUCUUGCCAUCAGAUGUGCCCAGAUGGGAUUAGCUAGUAGGUGGGGGUAACGGCUCACCUAGGNGACGAUCCCUAGCUGGUCUGAGAGGAUGACCAGCCACACUGGAACUGAGACACGGUCCAGACUCCUACGGGAGGCAGCAUG